rnacentral:rRNA from 1 species
AGUGAACGCUGGCGGCAGGCCUAACACAUGCAAGUCGAGCGGCAGCGCGUCCGACCACCCUCGGGUGGUCGGAUGGCGGCGAGCGGCGGACGGGUGAGGAAUGCAUCGGAAUCUGCCUCGUUGUGGGGGAUAACGUAGGGAAACUUACGCUAAUACCGCAUACGACCUACGGGUGAAAGUGGGGGACCUUCGGGCCUCACGCGAUGAGAUGAGCCGAUGCCGGAUUAGCUAGUUGGCGGGGUAAAGGCCCACCAAGGCGACGAUCCGUAGCUGGUCUGAGAGGAUGAUCAGCCACACUGGAACUGAGACACGGUCCAGACUCCUACGGGAGGCAGCAGUGGGGAAUAUUGCACAAUGGGGGAAACCCUGAUGCAGCCAUGCCGCGUGUGUGAAG